rnacentral:rRNA from 1 species
GAUAAACGCUGGCGGCGUGCAUAACACAUGCAAGUCGAACGAUGAAACUUAGCUGAUUUCUUCGGAAUGAAAUUAAGUGGAUUAGUGGCGAACGGGUGAGUAACACGUGAGUAACCUGCCUUACACAAGGGGAUAGCCUUUGGAAACGAAGAAUAAUACCCUAUAAAGUCAAAAUAUCGCAUGAUAUAGUGACCAAAGAUUUAUCGGUGUAAGAUGGACUUGCGUCUGAUUAGCUAGUUGGUGAGAUAAAAGCCCACCAAGGCGACGAUCAGUAGCCGGCUUGAGAGAGUGUACGGCCACAUUGGGACUGAGACACGGCCCAAACUCCUACGGGAGGCAGCAGUGGGGAAUUUUGCACAAUGGGGGAAACCCUGAUGCAGCGACGCCGCGUGAUUUAGAAGGCCUUCGGGUUGUAAAAAUCUUUUUUAUGGGAUGAAAAUGACAGUACCAUAAGAAUAAGGUCCGGCUAAAUACGUGCCAGCAGCCGCGGUAAUACGUAUGGACCGAGCGUUGUCCGGAAUCAUUGGGCGUAAAGGGUACGUAGGCGGCCUAGUAAGUUAGAAGUGAAAUAAUAUAGCUCAACUAUAUAAAGCUUUUAAAACUGUUAGGCUUGAGAGAUGAAAGGGAAAGUGGAAUUCCUAGUGUAGCGGUGAAAUGCGCAGAUAUUAGGAAGAAUACCGGUGGCGAAGGCGACUUUCUGGUCAUCAUCUGACGCUGAGGUACGAAAGCGUGGGUAGCAAACAGG